CUUCACUAAAUUGAUUAAAACAAAUUUCACACUUGUACGGCUUUUCUCCAGUGUGUACUCUCAAAUGUGCUUUUAAACUACUUGCUGUUGUAAACUGCUUAAAACAAAUUUCACACUUGUGAGGUUUUUGCCCGGUGUGAACUUUCGUAUGUAUGUCUAAAGACAGUUUAUAAGCAAACCGUUUGAAGCAAAUUUCACACUUAUAAGGUUUUUCUCCAGUGUGCAAUCUCAAAUGUGUUUUUAAAUUAGUUGCUUGGUUAAACUGUUUAAAACAAAUUUCACACUUAUAAGGUUUUUCUUCAGUGUGCACUCUCAAAUGUGUUUUCAAAUGAUUUGUUUGAAUAAAUUUCUUACAACAAAUUUCACACUUGUAAGGUUUUUCCCCAGUGUGCACUUUCAAAUGUUUUUUCAAACGAC